rnacentral:rRNA from 1 species
GAUGAACGCUGGCGGCGUGCUUAACACAUGCAAGUCGAACGAUGAAGCCCAGCUUGCUGGGUGGAUUAGUGGCGAACGGGUGAGUAACACGUGAGUAACCUGCCCUUGACUCUGGGAUAAGCCUGGGAAACUGGGUCUAAUACUGGAUAUGACUUCUCAUCGCAUGGUGGGGGGUGGAAAGAUUUAUUGGUCUUGGAUGGACUCGCGGCCUAUCAGCUUGUUGGUGAGGUAAUGGCUCACCAAGGCGACGACGGGUAGCCGGCCUGAGAGGGUGACCGGCCACACUGGGACUGAGACACGGCCCAGACUCCUACGGGAGGCAGCAGUGGGGAGUAUUGCACAAUGGGCGCAAGCCUGAUGCAGCGACGCCGCGUGAGGGAUGACGGCCUUCGGGUUGUAAACCUCUUUCAGUAGGGAAGAAGCGAGAGUGACGGUACCUGCAGAAGAAGCGCCGGCUAACUACGUG